rnacentral:rRNA from 1 species
UACAGAGGGGGCAAGCGUUGUUCGGAAUUACUGGGCGUAAAGGGCGCGUAGGCGGCCCUCUAAGUCGAACGUGAAAUCCCUGGGCUCAACCCAGGAACUGCGUCCGAGACUGGGGGGCUAGAAUCCGGGAGAGGGAUGUGGGAAUUCCAGGUGUAGCGGUGAAAUGCGUAGAUAUCUGGAGGAACAUCGGUGGCGAAGGCGGCAUCCUGGACCGGUAUUGACGCUGAGGCGCGAAAGCCAGGGGGAGCAAACGGG